rnacentral:rRNA from 1 species
UACGUAGGGUGCAAGCGUUGUCCGGAAUUAUUGGGCGUAAAGAGCUCGUAGGUGGCCUGUCGCGUCGGCUGUGAAAACUCGGGGCUCAACUCCGAGCUUGCAGUCGAUACGGGCAGGCUAGAGUUCGGCAGGGGAGACUGGAAUCCUGGUGUAGCGGUGAAAUGCGCAGAUAUCAGGAGGAACACCGGUGGCGAAGGCGGGUCUCUGGGCCGAUACUGACACUGAGGAGCGAAAGCGUGGGGAGCGAACAGG